rnacentral:rRNA from 1 species
UGAGGAAUAUUGGUCAAUGGGGGCAACCCUGAACCAGCGACGCCGCGUGAGUGAUGAAGGCCUUCGGGUCGUAAAACUCUUUUCUAGGUGACGAGCAAGGACGGUAGCCUGGGAAUAAGCCUCGGCUAACUACGUGCCAGCAGCCGCGGUAAAACGUAGGAGGCAAGCGUUAUCCGGAGUUACUGGGCGUAAAGCGCGCGCAGGCGGUGGGGUAAGUGGCUUGUGAAAGCCUCCGGCUAAACCGGGGGAGGUCAGGUCAGACUGCCCGACUGGAGUGAGGUAGAGGAGCGUGGAAUUCGGGGUGGAGCGGUGAAAUGUGUAGAGAUCCCGAGGAACACCAGUGGUGCAAACGGCGCUCUGGGCCUUUACUGACGCUGAGGCGCGAAAGCGUGGGGAGCGAACGGG